AUAAGCACCGGCUAACUCCGUGCCAGCAGCCGCGGUAAUACGGAGGGUGCAAGCGUUGUCCGGAUUUAUUGGGUGUAAAGGGUGCGUAGGCGGACAGGUAAGUCUGGGGUGAAAUCUUACCGCUUAACGGUAAAACUGCCUUGGAUACUGCUUGUCUUGAGUGUGAGAGAGGUCGGUGGAAUUCGUGGUGUAGCGGUGAAAUGCUUAGAUAUCACGAAGAACACCAGUGGUGAAGACGGCCGGCUGGAUCACAACUGACGCUGAGGCACGAGAGCGUGGGGAGCGAACAGGAUUAGAUACCCUGGUAGUCCACGCCGUAAACGUUGCGUGCUAGGUGUUGGCCCUUUGGGGUCGGCGCCGCAGCUAACGCGUUAAGCACGCCACCUGGGGAGUACGUCGGCAACGAUGAAACUCAAAUGAA
rnacentral:rRNA from 1 species